rnacentral:tRNA from 1 species
GCGGGGGUUGCCAAGACAGGUCAAAGGCGCAGGAUUGAGGGUCCUGUCUCGUAGGAGUUCGCGAGUUCAAAUCUCGUCCCCCGCA